rnacentral:rRNA from 1 species
UAGGGAAUAUUGGGAAAUGGGCGAAAGCCCGACCCAGCAACGCCGCGUGCGCGAAGAAGGCCUUCGGGUUGUAAAGCGCUUUUCAGAGGGAUGAGGAAGGACAGUACCUUUGGAAUAAGUCUCGGCUAACUACGUGCCAGCAGCCGCGGUAACACGUAGGAGACGAGCGUUAUCCGGAUUUACUGGGUGUAAAGCGCGUGUAGGCGGCUGGGUAAGUUGGAUGUGAAAGCUCCUGGCUUAACUGGGAGAG